CCUACGGGAGGCAGCAGUGGGGAAUCUUGCGCAAUGGGCGAAAGCCUGACGCAGCCAUGCCGCGUGAAUAAUGAAGGUCUUAGGAUUGUAAAAUUCUUUCACCGAGGACGAUAAUGACGGUACUCGGAGAAGAAGCCCCGGCUAACUUCGUGCCAGCAGCCGCGGUAAUACGAAGGGGGCUAGCGUUGCUCGGAAUUACUGGGCGUAAAGGGAGCGUAGGCGGAUAGUUUAGUCAGAGGUGAAAGCCCAGGGCUCAACCUUGGAAUUGCCUUUGAUACUGGCUAUCUUGAGUACGGAAGAGGUAUGUGGAACUCCGAGUGUAGAGGUGAAAUUCGUAGAUAUUCGGAAGAACACCAGUGGCGAAGGCGACAUACUGGUCCGUUACUGACGCUGAGGCUCGAAAGCGUGGGGAGCAAACAGGAUUAGAUACCCUGGUAGUCCACGCUGUAAACGAUGAGUGCUAGUUGUCGGCAUGCAUGCAUGUCGGUGACGCAGCUAACGCAUUAAGCACUCCGCCUGGGGAGUACGGUCGCAGAUUAAAACUCAAAGGAAUUGACGG
rnacentral:rRNA from 1 species